GACGAACGCUGGCGGCGUGCCUAAUACAUGCAAGUUGAGCGCUGAAGGUUGGUACUUGUACCAACUGGAUGAGCAGCGAACGGGUGAGUAACGCGUGGGGAAUCUGCCUUUGAGCGGGGGACAACAUUUGGAAACGAAUGCUAAUACCGCAUAAAAACUUUAAACACAAGUUUUAAGUUUGAAAGAUGCAAUUGCAUCACACAAAGAUGAUCCCGCGUUGUAUUAGCUAGUUGGUGAGGUAAAGGCUCACCAAGGCAAUGAUACAUAGCCGACCUGAGAGGGUGAUCGGCCACAUUGGGACUGAGACACGGCCCAAACUCCUACGGGAGGCAGCAGUAGGGAAUCUUCGGCAAUGGACGAAAGUCUGACCGAGCAACGCCGCGUGAGUGAAGAAGGUUUUCGGAUCGUAAAACUCUGUUGGUAGAGAAGAACGUUGGUGAGAGUGGAAAGCUCAUCAAGUGACGGUAACUACCCAGAAAGGGACGGCUAACUACGUG
rnacentral:rRNA from 1 species